rnacentral:rRNA from 1 species
ACGGAGGGUGCAAGCGUUAAUCGGAAUUACUGGGCGUAAAGCGCACGUAGGCGGACUUUCAAGUCAGGGGUGAAAUCCCGGGGCUCAACCUCGGAAUUGCCUUUGAUACUGUAGGUCUCGAGUCCGGAAGAGGUGGGUGGAAUUCCUAGUGUAGAGGUGAAAUUCGUAGAUAUUAGGAAGAACACCGGUGGCGAAGGCGGCCCACUGGUCCGGUACUGACGCUGAGGUGCGAAAGCGUGGGGAGCAAACAGGA